GGGAAUGUGGCUUAAUGGCAGAGUGUUUGCCUUGCAUGCACAAAGCAAUGGGUUUGAUUCCUCAGUACCA
rfam:Dipodomys ordii contig_51941, whole genome shotgun sequence.